rnacentral:rRNA from 1 species
AUUGAACGCUGGCGGCAUGCCUUACACAUGCAAGUCGAACGGCAGCACGGGGGCAACCCUGGUGGCGAGUGGCGAACGGGUGAGUAAUACAUCGGAACGUGCCCAGUAGUGGGGGAUAGCCCGGCGAAAGCCGGAUUAAUACCGCAUACGACCUACGGGUGAAAGCGGGGGAUCGCAAGACCUCGUGCUACCGGAGCGGCCGAUGUCAGAUUAGGUUGUUGGUGGGGUAAAAGCCUACCAAGCCGACGAUCUGUAGCUGGUCUGAGAGGACGACCAGCCACACUGGGACUGAGACACGGCCCAGACUCCUACGGGAGGCAGCAGUGGGGAAUUUUGGACAAUGGGCGCAAGCCUGAUCCAGCCAUGCCGCGUGCGGGAAGAAGGCC